rnacentral:rRNA from 1 species
UACGUAGGGGGCGAGCGUUGUCCGGAUUUAUUGGGCGUAAAGAGCUCGUAGGCGGUUUGGUAAGUCGGGUGUGAAAUCUCCACCGCUCAACGUGGAGGGGCCACUCGAUACUGCCAUGACUAGAGUCCGGAAGAGGCGAGUGGAAUUCCCGGUGUAGCGGUGAAAUGCGCAGAUAUCGGGAGGAACACCAAUGGCGAAGGCAGCUCGCUGGGACGGUACUGACGCUGAGGCGCGAAAGCGUGGGGAGCAAACAGG